GACGAACGCUGGCGGCGCGCCUAACACAUGCAAGUCGAACGAGCGAGAGAGAGCUUGCUUUCUCAAGCGAGUGGCGAACGGGUGAGUAACGCGUGAGGAACCUGCCUCAAAGAGGGGGACAACAGUUGGAAACGACUGCUAAUACCGCAUAAGCCCACGACCCGGCAUCGGGUAGAGGGAAAAGGAGCAAUCCGCUUUGAGAUGGCCUCGCGUCCGAUUAGCUAGUUGGUGAGGUAACGGCCCACCAAGGCGACGAUCGGUAGCCGGACUGAGAGGUUGAACGGCCACAUUGGGACUGAGACACGGCCCAGACUCCUACGGGAGGCAGGAGUGGGGAAUAUUGCACAAUGGGGGAAACCCUGAUGCAGCGACGCCGCGUGGAGGAAGAAGGUCUUCGGAUUGUAAACUCCUGUUGUUGAGGAAGAUAAUGACGGUACUCAACAAGGAAGUGACGGCUAACUACGUG
rnacentral:rRNA from 1 species